rnacentral:rRNA from 1 species
UACGUAGGAGGCAAGCGUUGUCCGGAAUUACUGGGCGUAAAGCGCGUGUAGGUGGUGGGACAAGUCUGCUGUGAAAGCGCCUGGCUUAACCGGGCGAGGUCGGCGGAAACUGUUCGACUCGAGGACGGUAGAGGGGGGUGGAAUUCCCGGUGUAGUGGUGAAAUGCGUAGAGAUCGGGAGGAACACCUGUGGCGAAGGCGGCCCCCUGGGCCGGCCCUGACACUGAGACGCGAAAGCGUGGGGAGCGAACGGG